rnacentral:pre_miRNA from 1 species
AAUAAGUACAACCGUGGAUAUCCGUGUCCAACGUUUGACCGUCCUUCUUAUUUGAAAAAUUUAUGAAAUAAUUAAAAAAAAUAGCCACACAUAAAGUACUAUUCAUAUUUUAUUAUCUAAUACAAAAUUUUUAAAUAAGAUGAAUGGUCAAACGUUGAAUGUGAAUAGUGUAAAACUACACUUAUU